GUGUGUUUGGUGUUCGGGGUAAGGUGUGUUUGGUGUUCGGGGUAAGGUGUGUCUGGUGUUCGGGGUAAGGUGUGUUUGGUGUUCGGGGUAAGGUGUGUUUGGUGUUCGGGGUAAGGUGUGUCUGGUGUUCGGGGUAAGGUGUGUUUGGUGUCCGGGCUAAGGGGUGUUUGGUGUUUCUGGGUAAAGUGUGUUUGGUGUCCGGGGUAAGGGGUGUUUGGUGUUUCUGGAUAAAGUGUGUCUGGUGUUCGGGGUAAGUCGUGUCUGGUGUUCGGAGUAAGGUGUCUCUGGUGUUCGGGGUAAGGUGUGUCUGGUGUUCGGGGUAAGGUGUGUAUGGUGUUCGGGGUAAGGUGUGUUUGGUGUUCGGGGUAAGUUGUGUCUGGUGUUCGGGGUAAAGUGUGUCUGGUGUUCGGGGUAAGGUGUGCCUGGUGUUCGGGGUAAGGUGUGUCUGGUGUUCGGGGUAAGUUGUGUCUGGUGUUCGGGGUAAGGUGUGUCUGGUGUUCGGGGUAAGGUGUGUCUGGUGUUCUGGGUAAGGUUAGGGGGGCUUUUUUGUCCGUGUUUGGUGUUAGAGGUGGUGUGUGUGAUGGUGUUGGGGUGGUAUUUGUGUUCGGGGUGGUGUGUCUGUGUGUUUGCUGUUAGUGGUGGUACAUGUGUGUGUUUCUGUUAGGGGUGGUACGUGUGUGUGUUUCUGUUAGGGGUGGUACGUGUGUGUGUUUCUGUUAGGGGUGGUACGUGUGUGUGUUUCUGUUAGGGGUGGUACGUGUGCUACAGAAUAUGUGGGAAUGCCC
ensembl:lncRNA